rnacentral:misc_RNA from 1 species
UCCGGUUUGUCACCGGCAGUCUCAUUAGAGUGCCCUUGCGUAGCAACUAAUGAUAAGGGUUGCGCUCGUUGCGGGACUUAACCCAACAUCUCACGACACGAGCUGACGACGGCCAUGCAGCACCUGUGUUCAGAUUCUCUUUCGAGCACCCCCACAUCUCUGCAGGGUCUCUGACAUGUCAAGGGUAGGUAAGGUUUUUCGCGUUGCAUCGAAUUAAACCACAUCAUCCACCGCUUGUGCGGGUCCCCGUCAAUUCCUUUGAGUUUCAGCCUUGCGGCCGUACUCCCCAGGCGGGGUGCUUAAUGCGUUAGCUUCGGCACGGACGGGGUCGAUACCCCAUACAGCUAGUACUCAUCGUUUACGGCGUGGACUAC